AUUGAACGCUGGCGGCAUGCCUUACACAUGCAAGUCGAACGAUGAAGUCGGAGCUUGCUCUGGUGAAUUAGUGGCGAACGGGUGAGUAACACGUGAGUAACCUGCCCAUGACUCUGGGAUAACUGCGGGAAACUGUAGCUAAUACCGGAUACGACCCUCGGAGGCAUCUCCUGGGGGUGGAAAGAAUUUCGGUCAUGGAUGGACUCGCGGCCUAUCAGCUAGUUGGUGAGGUAAAGGCUCACCAAGGCGACGACGGGUAGCCGGCCUGAGAGGGUGACCGGCCACACUGGGACUGAGACACGGCCCAGACUCCUACGGGAGGCAGCAGUGGGGAAUAUUGCACAAUGGGCGCAAGCCUGAUGCAGCAACGCCGCGUGAGGGACGACGGCCUUCGGGUUGUAAACCUCUUUUAGUAGGGAAGAAGCGAAAGUGACG
rnacentral:rRNA from 1 species